GGGGCUGUUAUUGGUUUCGACGGAAGGCAUGAGGCUCUAGCGGCAAGUGGAAGGUACUCCUUACGUACAAACAAAAAUAAAUAACAAAACAAAUAAUUAUGCUUACGCACCAGCUUUUGCUGCUGCUUAGUUUAAUAUAACGGUAAGCGCUUCUUUCUAAGUUUUACUCACGGACUUUUAAAGAGGUUCAUCUUUAGUGAGUUAUAUUAUUCUUUUUGUUUAGGAAAGAAUAACGAAUAUUACUAAACUCGUUAUUUGGUGGGUAUGUUAGUUACCUUUAUCAUUUAAUUAAAUCAUAAUUACUAACUAAACUUGUAGAUGCUAUUGUGGAAUGUUUUUCGGACGCGAGUUCGACUCUCGUCAGCUCCACCA
rnacentral:tmRNA from 1 species